UUUGCCUCUCGACGACGAGCCCGGCUUCCUCGUCCUCCUCCAUGAUUUCUACGUGGCGCUAGUAGGACGGUGCCGCGGACGCAACCCUGGCGCCUCGGUCCGCUGCCCUGUGGCCUUUGCCAUUGCGGAUGCUGCUGUUGCUCAUGAUGGAGCUACUGCUGUGAGCUGUGGUGCUCGACAUCGAUGGACGGCGCUGCAAGCGCAACCUCGGUGUCGAAUAGCUCGCCUACGCCAUGUAUUCUACUAUUGAUGCUUUGUUUGGUGGCUUGCUUAUGAGCUUAGAUAUAUACUUUAUUACUGUGCUGCAACUAUGGUACUACUUGGUUGGCCUGGGAUGAUUUCCUGGACCCUAUGUAAAUCCUGGUGACAUGUUAAUUAGUAGUGGCUGUUUAUGGUGAUGACUCAAUCAAAUGCACAAAUGCUACUGGUCAAAUCCUUGCUUAAUAAAUACAGUGGUGUCUCGAAUUGGAUAAUUAAUUAUCCAGGCA